GCAAGCCUAGCACUGUGUGCAUCUCCCUGCAUACAUUUUUCCCUGAGGCCCCACUUCAGUAUGGCAUUUAAAUGACUGAAUUUUGAGCUCAUACUUUCCAAGGUUUUCCUCUUUCCAGACCUGCGUGUGAUGAGAGCACCCCUACACGCAUGGCUUUGCAAACUGCAGACACCAUGUCCUCGGAGCGCUUUGUGGCAUAGCAGCAGAUGGAAACUGUGUGGGCAGUGAUGGAUAAAUACGCAUCAGGUGGUGUGACAGCUGGAAGAGGUGGCUGGAGCUUGCAGUUUCCUUGGCAGAGUGAUGCUGUGAAUAGCUCGAGGAGAGCAGAUCUACCUCAAGGUAUUGAAGGGAGUUGGAAGGAUCUAGGCUACAAGGAACGGCCUGCUGGGCUAAAGAAUAAUUCAGAAAUCUUAAAAACACCAUUCUUGACCAUUGAGCUGUAUGCCAAGCAAAUUCCAGGAAUGUUGCAGCCUAGGAAGUCUGGUUCAGGACAUCAGGUUUCAGGAACGUAGGCAGUUUAGAUGGACUGAUACAAGAAAUAGAGCUAAGAAACAGGUGGAAGCAGAGCUG
rnacentral:lncRNA from 1 species